UACGGGGGGGGCAAGCGUUGUUCGGAAUUACUGGGCGUAAAGGGCUCGUAGGCGGUCAACUAAGUCGGAUGUGAAAUCCCCAGGCUCAACCUGGGAACUGCAUCCGAUACUGGAUGGCUUGAAUUCGGGAGAGGGAUGCAGAAUUCCAGGUGUAGCGGUGAAAUGCGUAGAUAUCUGGAGGAAUACCGGUGGCGAAGGCGGCAUCCUGGACCGACAUUGACGCUGAGGAGCGAAAGCCAGGGGAGCAAACGGG
rnacentral:rRNA from 1 species